rnacentral:misc_RNA from 1 species
GUGAAUCAUCGAAUUUUUGAACGCAAAUUGCACUCUCCUCUGAGAGUAUGCCUGUUUGAGUGUCAGCCUAUAAAAAUCGACAUCGUUGCUUUUUCGCGGUGGCUGUCGUCGGAAUUUGGGUUAUCUUAAAUCCUUUUGUGUUAUGCGACGUAAAAUUUUCUUUUAGUUCCACUAACUUUUCUAAGAUUUACUUACGCGUUUAAGGUAUCGAUUUUUAUUAGACGUGGCCGUUGCAUCGGAUCACGUCCAUAAAUAUUUCAUUAACUUACCUCAUACAGGUAAGUUCACCCUCUGA